rnacentral:rRNA from 1 species
AAUGGCGCGUGCUUACCAUGCAAGUCGGACGGUAAGGCCCCUUUCGGGGGGUACACGAGUGGCGAACGGGUGAGUAACACGUGAGGAACGUGCCCUUGACUUCGGUAUAGCUCCAGGAAACUGGUGGUAAUCCCGAAUAUGAGCCUGGCCUGCAUGGGUUGGGUUGGAAAGCUUUAUGCGGUCAGGGAUCGUCUCGCGGCCUAUCAGCUUGUUGGUGGGGUAAUGGCCUACCAAGGCAGCGACGGGUAGCCGGCCUGAGAGGGUGACCGGCCACAUUGGGACUGAGAUACGGCCCAGACUCCUACGGGAGGCAGCAGUGGGGAAUAUUGCACAAUGGGCGCAAGCCUGAUGCAGCAACGCCGCGUGCGGGAUGACGGCCUUCGGGUUGUAAACCGCUUUCAUCCAUGACGAAGCGCAAGUGACGGUAGUGGGAGAAGAAGCACCGGUUAACUACGUGCCAGCACCCGCGGUGAUACGUAGGGUACGAGCGUUGUCCGGAAUUAUUGGUCGUAAAGAG